rnacentral:rRNA from 1 species
AAUAUUAGUUAAGGACUUUAAACCCAAAGAAUUUGGCGGUAUCUUAUUCCAUUCAGAGGAACCUAUCCCAUAAUUGAUAAUACACGAUUAACUUUACUUAAUUUAUUUGUUUGUAUAUCUCCGUUAUCAGAGGAUCUUUUUAGAGUUAUAAUUUUCUAAAUUUAAAAUUAUAAAGUAUUUCAGGUCAAGGUGCAGUUUAUAAUUAAGAGGAGAUGGGUUACAAUAAAUUUAAUUUAAACGGAUUUAAUAAUAAAAAAUUGUUAAUGAAGGUGGAUUUGAUAGUAAUUUAAUUUAUUUAAUUUAACUGAUAUUGGCUCUAAGGUGUGU